CGCCGAUCAAACGACCUCAGGGUCCCAGAUUUGAUGUACACCCGGCACACGCUAAAUUCAUUCCUUAGCUGCACAACCGAAAAGAAAAGAAUUGAAAAGAGGCACAUCUGAAGAUCGAGGAGGUGAAGGAUCUCACGGGGGAGCUGCUCUGGGUCAUAGCUGUACACGCCGACGACGGGUAUGUAGCGUUCCAUCUCCUUCAGCCUCUUGUUCUCUAGCUUGUUUCGCAGAUAGAAACCAAGUAGCUCUUCUUCCGUUGGGUAGAACCGAAGGCCGGGAGGCUGAUCAGUCAUUUCCUCUCUUUCUUAUGCGAUUACUCCUCUCUCUCUCCCCUUCCUUUCCUCCUUUCCUCUUUGGAACUUCUUUGUGCAGCGUCUGCACAGCCAACAAGAUGAAGGAAGCUGUUGUUUAUAUAACGAGAGUGGGUGCAAGAUGUAUAUAUAUAUGUAUAUAGAAGGGACUUUGCAAAGAAAUGGGGUGAGAAACGGUGCAAUAUUGCUCAAUAUAUAUAUAUAUAUAGAGAGAGAGAGGAACUAUAGAUGGAGGAGGUGUGGGGCUGCUUCUUUGAAAGUUGAAUCCCUCUGGGAGAAGAGACCUGUGGGAAACCAAGGAGAAAGAGAUGAAAGAGAUCAGUCAAUCACACCUCCCUCCAUCCCCCUCCUUCCGAACGUAUAGUGGUGUUUUUUGUCCUGGGGUGAGGAAAGCCAACCCGUAGCCACCAUAUAUAGCUUAUAUUUGACGUAGAACAAAAUUUCAUCUUGUCUGUGUGAACGUAAACCCCGAGAUCUUAACUUGUUUCAGGUAACGAGAUUUUGACCUAGAAGUAAUCCGACGUACGGUCCUUAUGUGGGCAACAUGGAUGCAUGAACACAGUAGGAAGAAUAUCGAACGUACUGCAAAGUUUUAGCACGCACUUAGGAAUUCAAAUCCUUACUGUAAAUAUGAACGCUUGACUACAUUAGCGGGAAGAUGGAACGUGGUCUUCAAAACCUUGGUUCAGGUCGCCGUGGAGCCUCCUGUUAUUACCCUUAAAAGUUGCUUGACCUUGAAGUCAUGGGAGGUUCGGCCACCUUUUAUUGAAUCAAUGCAAGUUUCGUAUCCUCGUUUAACAAAUUCAUCAAGAGUUACAUUUUUUUUAAAAAAAAAUAUCGAUUCAAUGGUAAUCUUUGUUCCAUAGAAUGAUUUGAUUUUGCAUGCGUAAGUUCAUCGUUGCAGAGUAAAUAGUAACUAUAUACAAAGAGGUGGUUGACUUAAUUAAAUUUCAUGCAUCCAAAGUCCAUAAACUAUGCAAUUAAAGCCAACGGAAGAAUGCAUAUCUAAGUAAGAAGUAGUUACUUGGAAAGAGCCCUUUAAUUUUAUGAGAUGACAUGAAAGGAUUUCCAUCUUAAUUUGCAGCUUCAUCCAAUUUAUUUAGAUAAACUAGUGAAAGCAGAAGUCAAGUCCAAGUUACUAGCACCUUAUAACUCUAGGGAUUUUACCAAUUGAGCCAAUUAGGAACCAGAUCGGAAGCCUCUUUGAUCACUGCAGGUAUGGUUUAUCUCCAGUAAUAAAUACAAAAUGGAUUGCAUUAUCAUAAGAAAUAGAUAGAUAAUAACCAUGGUUUUCAUGAUAGAUGAUAUAGAUAGUCUCAUACUUCAUCCUCACCUAAAAUUGCAGGACACACGCAUAUCUUGUAGCUCAAAUGGGACCCAAAGAUCUACACAUAUGCGAUAGGGUAGUCACUAUAGCUAGGAUGAUAUAUGUGUCUACGUGCCUUAAUUUUCAAGAUAGAGCAACAAUUGAUUGCUACAUUAAUUGGCACUCAUUUCAUGUGAUCCAAAUGGAGAUAAGAAACAAAUUCCUUUAACUCGGACCUUGCAAAUUAGUAAGUGCAACCCUGCAAAGCCAGCAAUAUAUAUAUAUAUUAGAUAUUACUUCAACAAUGAAUUGUAAAUGUAUCGAAAGGUUUACCUCAAAAAUGACCAAAUCUCGAGAUUUAAUUGUUCACGGUCAUAUGUAAUAUAUAUGGCAACAUGUCAAUAAAACCAACUAGGGCAAUUCACGUCAAGUAUGGUGAUCUUUCUGAAUCAUCAUGUUUGUUACCUUAUAUCAAAUACAGAUUUUUUAGAAAUUGAAUUUGGCAUUAGUGGCUCCUUGGGCUAGGGAUUUUGUAAGAUCUCAUGCUCAUUGCAAUAUUUGAUGGUUUGUGUAUGGCACUAUCUCACUAGUUCUAUAUCAUGCAAUGAGAAUGUAUAACAGUAUAGGGUGCCUCAUUAUGUGCAUAUGCUUGUGUAGUUAUCGACUCGUACAUCACACGCCAGGUGCACCUUGAUAGCAUUAGCUCAAAAUUCCCAUGGACCCACCACCCAAAUUAUGAGCCUCUUCGUUGCAUCUCACUGAGGUUGCUGAAGUGGUUAAUUAAUGUUUUAAUUCUAUUCACGUCUCCAUUUCAAUUUAUCUUGUUGGAAAACUUAGAAGACAGAGGCCAAGUAGAUCAAAGUCAACAAGAAGGGGAGGAUUCGCGUGACGUGCGACAACCGCGUUCUCUUUCUCGACCAGAUGAUUGAUUCAAUUCAACGUUUGGAG